rnacentral:rRNA from 1 species
GAGGGGCAGCACAGGUAGCAAUACCGGGUGGCGACCGGCGCACGGGUGAGUAACGCGUAUGCAACUUGCCUAUCAGAGGGGGAUAACCCGGCGAAAGUCGGACUAAUACCGCAUGAAGCAGGGGCCCCGCAUGGGGAUAUUUGCUAAAGAUUCAUCGCUGAUAGAUAGGCAUGCGUUCCAUUAGGCAGUUGGCGGGGUAACGGCCCACCAAACCGACGAUGGAUAGGGGUUCUGAGAGGAAGGUCCCCCACAUUGGUACUGAGACACGGACCAAACUCCUACGGGAGGCAGCAGUGAGGAAUAUUGGUCAAUGGGCGUAAGCCUGAACCAGCCAAGUCGCGUGAGGGAUGAAGGUUCUAUGGAUCGUAAACCUCUUUUAUAAGGGAAUAAAGUGCGGGACGUGUCCCGUUUUGUAUGUACCUUAUGAAUAAGGAUCGGCUAACUCCGUGCCAGCAGCCGCGGUAAUACGGAGGAUCCGAGCGUUAUCCCGAUUUAUUGGGUUUAAAGGGUGCGUAGGCGGCCUUUUAAGUCAGCGGUGAAAGUCUGUGGCUCAACCAUAGAAUUGCCGUUGAAACUGGGGGGCUUGAGUAUGUUUGAGGCAGGCGGAAUGCGUGGUGUAGCGGUGAAAUGCUUAGAUAUCACGCAGAACCCCGAUUGCGAAGGCAGCCUGCCAAGCCAUGACUGACGCUGAUGCACGAAAGCGUGGGGA